rnacentral:rRNA from 10 species
AAACUUUCAACAACGGAUCUCUUGGCUCUCGCAUCGAUGAAGAACGCAGCGAAUUGCGAUAAGUAAUGUGAAUUGCAGAAUUCAGUGAAUCAUCGAAUCUUUGAACGCAGCUUGCGCUCUCUGGUAUUCCGGAGAGCAUGCCUGUUUCAGUGUCAU